rnacentral:tRNA from 1 species
GCCGGCGUGUCGGAACCGGCAGACGAGACAGACUCAAAAUCUGUUGUCCGCAAGGGCGUGUGGGUUCGAGUCCCACCGCCGGCACCA